UUUAAGAAAAUUUUUAAAAUUUGGUUUAAUUGAACUGGAUUAGUACCCAGGUAAUCAAAAUUAAUUAAUUCGGGAGUAAAGUUUUGUUUAAACCGAAAAAAUAUUGACUGACUCUGGAUUUCUUUUUGGAAUAUGUGUAUGGAGAGCCCUCUUUWAUAGUAAAUCUUUUUUUGCACAUGUAUGAUUGUUUAGUUUUUAUUUURUUUUGUAAUGCUUUWUUUUUAGAUUWAAAACAGAUAUAUAYUUGGCUUAUGGGUUUAUUAAUC
rnacentral:rRNA from 1 species